rnacentral:rRNA from 1 species
UACGUAGGGGCCUAGCGUUGUCCGGAUUUAUUGGGCGUAAAGAGCGUGUAGGCGGCCUGGUAGGUCAGCUGUGAAACUCGAGGCUCAACCUCGAGACGUCGGUUGAAACCACCUGGCUAGAGUCCGGAAGAGGAGAGUGGGAAUUCCCCGGUGUAGCGGUGAAAUGCGCAGAUAUCGGGAAGAACACCCGUGGCGAAGGCGGCUCUCUGGGACGGUACUGACGCUGAGACGCGAAAGCGUGGGGGAGCGAACAGG